GACGAACGCUGGCGGCAUGCUUUACACAUGCAAGUCGAACGGUAACAGGGUGCUUGCACCGCUGACGAGUGGCGAACGGGUGAGUAAUGCGUCGGAACGUGCCGAGUAGUGGGGGAUAACGCAGCGAAAGUUGUGCUAAUACCGCAUACGUACUGAGGUAGAAAGUGGGGGACCUUCGGGCCUCACGCUAUUCGAGCGGCCGACGUCUGAUUAGCUAGUAGGUGAGGUAAAGGCUCACCUAGGCGACGAUCAGUAGCGGGUCUGAGAGGAUGAUCCGCCACACUGGGACUGAGACACGGCCCAGACUCCUACGGGAGGCAGCAGUGGGGAAUUUUGGACAAUGGGCGAAAGCCUGAUCCAGCCAUGCCGCGUGUCUGAAGAAGGCCUUCGGGUUGUAAAGGACUUUUGUCAGGGAGGAAAUCCCUAGUGCUAAUAACACUGGGGGAUGACAGUACCUGAAGAAUAAGCACCGGCUAACUACGUGCCAGCAGCCGCCGUAACAC
rnacentral:rRNA from 1 species